UACGUAGGUGACAAGCGUUGUCCGGAUUUAUUGGGCGUAAAGAGCGUGUAGGCGGCCAGACAGGUCCACUGUGAAAACUCGAGGCUCAACCUCGAGAGGUCGGUGGAAACCGUCUGGCUAGAGUCCGGAAGAGGAGAGUGGAAUUCCCGGUGUAGCGGUGAAAUGCGCAGAUAUCGGGAAGAACACCCGUGGCGAAGGCGGCUCUCUGGGACGGUACUGACGCUGAGACGCGAAAGCGUGGGGAGCGAACAGG
rnacentral:rRNA from 1 species